rnacentral:rRNA from 1 species
GACGAACGCUGGAGGCGUGCUUAACACAUGCAAGUCGAACGAUGAAAUGGAGCUUGCUCCAUGGAUUAGUGGCGAACGGGUGAGUAACACGUGAAUAACCUGCCCUUAAUUUUGGAAUAACCCAGGGAAACCUGGGCUAAUACCGGAUAAGUAAACCUGUGGCAUCACAUGGUUUUGGAAAGUUUUUCGAUUAAGGAUGGAUUCGCGGCCUAUUAGCUUGUUGGUGAGGUAAUGGCUCACCAAGGCGACGACGGGUAGCCGGCCUGAGAGGGUGAACGGCCACACUGGGACUGAGACACGGCCCAGACUCCUACGGGAGGCAGCAGUGGGGAAUAUUGCGCAAUGGACGAAAGUCUGACGCAGCGACGCCUCGUGAGGGACGAAGGUCUUCGGAUUGUAAACCUCUUUCAGCAGGGACGAAGCGAAAGUGACGGUACCUGCAGAAGAAGCACCGGCUGACUAUGUGCCAGCCGCCGCCGUAA